UACGUAGGGUGCGAGCGUUAAUCGGAAUUACUGGGCGUAAAGCGUGCGCAGGCGGUUUUGUAAGCCAGAUGUGAAAGCCCCGGGCUUAACCUGGGAAUGGCAUUUGGGACUGCAAGGCUUGAGUGCGGCAGAGGAGACUGGAAUUCCUGGUGUAGCAGUGAAAUGCGUAGAUAUCGUAAGGAAGACCAGUGGCGAAGGCGGGUCUCUGGACAGUUCCUGACGCUGAGGCACGAAGGUCAGGGGAGCAAACGGG
rnacentral:rRNA from 1 species